ensembl:lncRNA
GAAUGAGGAAGCUCUUCAUUUACUUGUAUAAAAAUAUUCUCAUGAUAUAUUGAGGAAAGCAAAGUGUAGGACAGUGUGCACAAUGCUCUACCUUUUGUCUUAAAGAGGGAAGAAAAGUCAUCUAUAUUUCUAUAGAUUCAAGUCACAUAUAGACUCAUAUCACAUUAUAAAGAAAUUCUGAAAAGACACAAAUUAGUAAAACUGGUUGCCUCGAUUUGAAAAUCUCUUGGUUUUUAAGACUCAGUUUCCACCUCUGUAGAACGAGAUUAAAAUUACUUUCAUCAUAGAGUUAUCCAAUAGCAUAAACAUAAAGCAUUUUGCAUACUUCAGGAUAUCAAGUUGUGGAUCAAUGAUUAUCACAGUGACUUUUGCAUUAGAUUAUACCCAGAGAUUCCUUCAGUUACGUGGAUGUGUUUUUGUGUGCCAGUUACACAAUCUAAAUUAGUCACUGAAACAUGUUACAUCUGCAACAGUCCUUUUUCCUUUGGUAAAUUGUAAGCGGGGAUUGUGUCUUUCCAAAGCGUAUCCAUCUGCUAGCCUAGUGUGCAGUGUCAUACAGCCUGGGAGAGACAAGGAAUGUCCUGUCAGACGGGGCUGGAGGUGAUGAUGCCAAGAUCCUCCAGACUGGCCAACAGUGCAGCGCAUGUGCAGGAGCCGCCACAUCCCUGAGCAGAGCAGCCCGGCACUCUACAUUCCCCGCCAUCACUGAUCUGUUUCAAAGGCAAUAAAGAAACAAUAAAAGGCAUUCUGUUUAUUGUCUUCUCUUUCCCAAAGUACAAUAGUUCAAUCCAUAUUUUUGACAUUAAAAAUCUCCAUCUGGUUCUUCAAAUACAUAAUCCAUUAAAAUGGCUGAUCCAGACUAGUGGUUACCAGAGCAGAAGGGGGUUCAGGGGUGGGCAUAAGGAGUAAAGGGGCACGUUUAUAUGGUGAUGGACAGAUAAUGUACAACUGAAAUUUCACAACGUUAUCAACUAUUAUGACCUCAAGUUUUUAGAAAAAGGCUGAUCUAUGACUUUUGAGCAUACUAAACAACAAAGCAUUAUAUAUAUCCUUUUUUAGACAAAUAAUUUUAUUGUGAGUAAAAGACCUGAUCAAAUGUUACUAUGCAUCCAUCCCAUAAACCCAACACGCUCAGUCAGAGAGGAGCAUUCACAUGGCAUACUCAGAUCAGAAACAGGAGCACUGAGGAAACAAGCCUAAGGGAGGGAGGUCAUUUUCCAGGCUGAACUGAGGUCGUUAAGCAGCCCAACCAUCGAGAAACCUCACCAGCUUGGAGUUUCUGGGUCACUGGGUUUUGCGCUUCAAUAACGCACAGCAGAGCCAGGAGCUGCUCCUGGGGCCUGGCUGUGUCUCCUCACAGUGACACACCAUUGCCCCUGAGCCACAGUGACGGGCUUGUUGCCCUGGAAGUGGAAUAGGACAGUGGCUUUCCAACUUUUUGUGAUAGAGAUCUACAGCAAAAAGUACGUUCUACGUUGGGUCCAAUACAUAUAAGAAUAUGAAAACACACACAGAACAAACAUUUCAUAAAACAUUACUUAAUAAGAGCAACGCAUUCUGAUAUUUUCUAUUCCAUUUUGAAAAAAAGGAACAAAGAAAUUUAUUUCCAAACCUACUAACUAGGUCAGGACAAGCAACACUAGGCUAGAAGAAAAGAUUGUCCAUUUUUCUCCCACUCUUCCAAGUUCGCUCGUUUUACAGACUUGCUGACAAGUCCUCCCAGUGCCCUCUACUGCACCCUCUGGGUAUUGCAAGCGCCUUUUGUUCCUGGCACGGAGAUUUUUUUAAGGACGAGAUUAAAUCAAAGAGCUCUACACUCCAAUAUGAGCUUCUUCUCCCAAAGUAGAAAUAGCUCUGACACAAUUUAAGCAGAAGGUUAGACGAAGAGUUAACACACAAACCCAGUUCUGAAGAGGCACUUUCCAAGUCAGAGAAUCCACCCGACGGGGACCUCAGAAGCCAAACUGACGACAUAGUCAGUGGUUUCCAGAGAGUGACAAAUUCAAAUUCAGGACAUUCUAGAAUAGCAUUUCAUUAAAGCUGCUGCAGUCUAUCAAAUAUAAUAUAACCUUGGAAUCUGCUCGAUAGUCCCUUGUCAAACCUAGGUCUAUAUAUAUAUUUUUUUUACUAAAGCAACUUCUGAGUGUUUACUGUACCCUAACUUAUUCCAAAAGCUCUUCAAGAUGCUGUAUAACACAAUGUGGCUCUAGCACAAACUAAAACCUAGAAAUCUCUUUUGUUCCUUUGUGAAUGAUGCAGAAUGUCCAUUUUGACAAGCCACCAUGGCUUACAGAAUUUAAUUGUUCCAUUCGUUAGAAGGUCUGCCAGGAGAGUUAUAGCUCUGAAGUCAUUUCUGACCAACAUGUGCUUUUUUGUUUUCCUGGGUUUUUUUUUUAUUGACUUCAUAAUAGUUUACAUCCAUGUGAGGUUUCAGUUGUACAUUAUUUCUUGUCCGUCACCACAUAAGUGGUCCC